CAAAUUUUGUGUGACAGUAGAGCCCAAUAACCGCUCAAGUUGAGUUAAUUUUGGUGAAAAACAGUAAAAACUUUAUAUUACCCACAAUUUAAACUUUACAUCAAUAUAGAAGAGAUUGGGGGACACGCGUACCUGGGUUUGCUAAUCGCCUGACCUUAACUUUCACUGUUAGUGUCCAAACUCAAAGCUGACCUUGAAAAAAAAAAUCAUAUCAAGUAACAUAUCAUAUGAAAAGGCAUGUACAACACACUUUAUAUUUUUUCAAUACAAGGUCACAAUGAUGCCAUAACAGGUUGACGGCAGCAUGUUGUGAUAAAAAAAAAAAAUCAUAAAACACUGAAGUUUUAGUAUAAGCCUUGCACUUUUUGGGUGGAUGUGCUCUCUGAGUGCUCUUUGAGUGCUCUUCUUUCUCCAUAUAAGUUUUUUUUUUUUUUUUAGCCAUUUACUGAAACAUAUUGCAAUUAUAGUUAUAUAAUGGACAUGGACAUAAUUGUAGACUCUCAGCUUUCAUUUGAGGGUAUCCACUUUUAAAUUGGUUGGGUUUACAAGUUUCAGCUCUUUAACAUGUGCCAGACUAUUUUUAAAGGGAUUGACUCAAAAGCUUUUUCAUGGGCAGGUGUGGGCAUUUCCUUCGUUAUGUCAUUAUCAAUUAAGCAGAUAGAAGGCCUGGAGUUCAUUGGAAGUGUGGUGCUUGUAUUUGGAAGAUUUUGCUGUGAAUAGACAACAUGCGGUCAAAGGAGCUCUACAUGCAGGUGAAACAAGCCCUACUUAAGCUGUGAAAACAGAAAAAGCCCAUCUGAGAAAAUGCUGCAAUAUUAGGAGUGAGAUUAACCAAACUCUCCAGUUUGGUAAAUCAUAAGAAAGUAAGACAGCACCGGUAAACUCAGCAACUCAAAGAGACCUGGACCACCAUGCAAGACAACAGUGGUGGAUGAUCACAGAUUUAUUUCCAUGGUAAAGACAAACCUGUUCACAGCAGCCAACCAAGUGAACAACAGUCUCCAGGAGUAAAUGUGAAUGCACAAAACCAAUUACAGAAGGUUCACUGCAAGGUCCACUCAUAAGCCUAAAAAAUAGUAAGGAUAGAUUGGACUUUGCUAUAAAAAAAAAAAAAACUAAACAAAAAAACCAAAACAUUCAGCACAGUUCUGGAAAAGCAUUCUUUGGACAGAAGAAACCAAGUUCAACCUCUACCAGAAUGAUGGCAAGGAAAAAGUAUGGAGAUGCUGUGAUAUAGCUCAUGAUCAAAGCAUAGAACCAUAUCGGCUGUUAAACACGAGACUGUGUGAUGGUUUGAGCAUGCAUGGCAGCCAGUGGCACUGGGACACUAUUGUUUAUUGAUGAUGUGACUCAGGACAGAAGCAGCCGAAUGAAUUCUGAGGUGUUCAGAGACAAACUGUCUGCUCAAAUCGAGCUAAAUACAAUCAAAGUGAUUCGGCAGAGUUUCAUAAUACAGAUAGAAACUGUUGCCGCACAGCAAGAAGGUCCUGAGUUCAAUUCCACCAUCAGGCCGGGGUCUUUCUGUGUGGAGUUUGCAUGUUCUCCCCGUGUUUGCGUGGGUUCUCUCCGGGUACUCCGGCUUCCUCCCACCGUCCAAAGACAUGCAGCUUGUGGGGAUAGGUUAAUUGAUUAAUCCAAAUUGCCACUAGGUGUGAAUGUGAGUGUGAAUGGUUGUCUGUCCCUGUGUGUUAGCCCUGCGGCAGACUGGCGACCUGUCCAGGGUGUACCCUGCCUUUCGCCCUAUGACAGCUGGGAUAGGCUCCAGCGCCCCCCGCGACCCUGAAAAGGAUAAGCGGAAGCGAAUGGAUGGAUGGAG
ensembl:lncRNA